rnacentral:rRNA from 1 species
GUCCUAGCCCUAACGAUCAGGACUUGGGUGCAUCCCGACGGGUGCGUCCCGUAGCUAACGCGUUAAGUCCUGCGCCUGGGAGUACGGUCGCAAGACUGAAACUCAAAGGAAUUGACGGGCCCGCACAAGCGGUGGAACAUGUGGUUCAAUUCGACGCAACGCGAAGAACCUUACCUGGGCUUGAACCGCUACUGACCAGCGGUGGAAACAUCGCCUUCUCGCAAGAGACAGUAGUAGAGGUGCUGCAUGGCUGUCGU